CCAGAUAAUGACCCGCCCAGCGCGUUCUGAUACAUGACCACUCGGGAGAUAUGGGGCUGUUGAUUGCUUUAUUAUUAAUAAUAAACUCAGGAACCAAACACACCUGUGUGGAAGCACCUGCUUUUAUCAACAUACUGCAUAUCUCUCGUUCGACUAGGAAGUGUUUCCUGUUAUUCUGGCAGUUACCUGCAGACGCUACGUAGAAAGGUAAAUACAUACGGAAGCUUCCCGGAACAACGACUAUAAAACUAUAUUAUAUAUUGAUAAUGAUGCUAGCAUUUUAUCAGGAAAGUUGAGACUGUAUCAUAUGUUGGGGUUCGGCAGGGUAGGCUAGUGGUUAGAGCAGGUAGCCUAGUGGUUAGAGCAGGUAGCCUAGUGGUUAGAGCAGGUAGCCUAGUGGUUACAGCAGGUAGCCUUGUGGUUAGAGCAGGUAGCCUAGUGGUUAGAGCAGGUAUACUAGUGGUUAGAGGCAGGUCGCCUUGUGGUUAGAGCAGGUAGCCUAGUGGUUAGAGCAGGUAGCCUAGUGGUUAGAGCAGGUAGCCUAGUGGUUAGAGCAGGUAGCCUAGUGGUUACAGCAGGUAGCCUAGUGGUUAGAGCAGGUAUCCUAGUGGUUAGAGGCAGGUAGCCUUGUGGUUAGAGCAGGUAGCCUAGUGGUUAGAGCAGGUAUCCUAGUGGUUAGAGGCAGGUAGCCUAGUGGUUAGAGCAGGUAUCCUAGUGGUUAGAGGCAGGUGCCUUGUGGUUAGAGCAGGUAGCCUAGUGGUUAGAGCAGGUAUCCUAGUGGUUAGAGCAGGUAGCCUAGUGGUUAGAGCAGGUAGCCUAGUGGUUAGAGCAGGUAGCAUAGUGGUUAGAGCAGGUAGCCUAGUGGUUACAGCAGGUAGCCUAGUGGUUAGAGCAGGUAUCCUAGUGGUUAGAGGCAGGUAGCCUUGUGGUUAGAGCAGGUAGCCUAGUGGUUAGAGCAGGUAUCCUAGUGGUUAGAGGCAGGUAGCCUAGUGGUUAGAGCAGGUAGCCUAGUGGUUAGAGCAGGUAGCCUAGUGGUUACAGCAGGUAGCCUUGUGGUUAGAGAAGGUAGCCUAGUGGUUAGAGCAGGUAGCCUAGUGGUUAGAGCAGGUAGCCUAGUGGUUAGAGCAGGUAGCCUAGUGGUUAGAGCAGGUAGCCUAGUGGUUACAACAGGUAGCCUUGUGGUUAGAGCAGGUAGCCUUGUGGUUAGAGCAGGUAGCCUAGUGGUUAGAGCAGGUAUCCUAGUGGUUAGAGCAGGUAGCCUAGUGGUUAGAGCAGGUAGCCUAGUGGUUAGAGCAGGUAUCCUAGUGGUUAGAGGCAGGUGCCUUGUGGUUAGAGCAGGUAGCCUAGUGGUUAGAGCAGGUAGCCUAGUGGUUAGAGCAGGUAUCCUAGUGGUUAGAGGCAGGUGCCUUGUGGUUAGAGCAGGUAGCCUAGUGGUUAGAGCAGGUAGCCUAGUGGUUAGAGCAGGUAUCCUAGUGGUUAGAGGCAGGUAGCCUAGUGGUUAGAGGCAGGUAGCCUAGUGGUUAGAGCAGGUAGCCUAGUGGUUAGAGGCAGGUAGCCUGUUGGUUAGAGCAGGUAUCCUAGUGGUUAGAGGCAGGUAGCCUAGUGGUUAGAGCAGGUAGCCUAGUGGUUAGAGCAGGUAGCCUAGUGGUUAGAGCAGGUAGCCUUGUGGUUAGAGUAGGUAGACUAGUGGUUAGAGCAGGUAUCCUAGUGGUUAGAGGCAGGUAGCCUAGUGGUUAGAGCAGGUAGCCUAGUGGUUAGAGCAGGUAUCCUAGUGGUUAGAGUCAGGUGCCUUGUGGUUAGAGCACGUAGCCUAGUGGUUAGAGCAGGUAGCCUAGUGGUUAGAGCAGGUAUCCUAGUGGUUAGAGGCAGGUAGCCUAGUGUUUAGAGCAGGUAGCCUAGUGGUUAGAGGCAGGUAGCCUAGUGGUUAGAGCAGGUAGCCUAGUGGUUAGAGGCAGGUAGCCUGUUGGUUAGAGCAGGUAUCCUAGUGGUUAGAGGCAGGUAGCCUAGUGGUUAGAGCAGGUAGCCUAGUGGUUAGAGCAGGUAGCCUAGUGGUUAGAGCAGGUAGCCUAGUGGUUAGAGGCAGGUAGCCUAGUGGUUAGAGCAGGUAGCCUAGUGGUUAGAGACAGGUAGCCUGUUGGUUAGAGCAGGUAUCCUAGUGGUUAGAGGCAGGUAGCCUAGUGGUUGGAGCAGGUAUCCUAGUGGUUAGAGGCAGGUAGCCUAGUGGUUAGAGCAGGUAUCCUAGUGGUUAGAGGCAGGUAGCCUAGUGGUUAGAGGCAGGUAGCCUUGUGGUUAGAGCAGGUAGCCUAGUGGUUAGAGCAGGUAUCCUAGUGGUUAGAGGCAGGUAGCCUUGUGGUUAGAGCAGGUAGCCUAGUGGUUAGAGCAGGUAUCCUAGUGGUUAGAGGCAGGUAGCCUAGUGGUUAGAGCAGGUAUCCUAGUGGUUAGAGGCAGGUGCCUUGUGGUUAGAGCAGGUAGCCUAGUGGUUAGAGCAGGUAGCCUAGUGGUUAGAGCAGAUAUCCUAGUGGUUAGAGGCAGGUAGCCUAGUGGUUAGAGGCAGGUAGGCUAGUGGUUAGAGCAGGUAGCCUAGUGGUUAGAGGCAGGUAGCCUAGUGGUUAGAGCAGGUAGCCUAGUGGUUAGAGGCAGGUAGCCUGUUGGUUAGAGCAGGUAUCCUAGUGGUUAGAGGCAGGUAGCCUAGUGGUUAGAGCAGGUAGCCUGUUGGUUAGAGCAGGUAUCCUAGUGGUUAGAGGCAGGUAGCCUAGUGGUUAGAGCAGGUAGCCUGUUGGUUAGAGCAGGUAUCCUAGUGGUUAGAGGCAGGUAGCCUAGUGGUUAGAGCUUUGUGCCAGUAACCAAAAUGUUUGCCCAAUCGAAUCCCCGAGCUGACAAGGUGUAAAAAUCUGUCGUUCUGCCCCUGAACAAGGCAGUUAACCCCACUGUUACCCCGGGUACUACGUCACUGUAAAUAAGAAUUUGUUCUUAACUGACUUCCCUAGUUAAAUAAAAAUAUAUAUUAAAAAAAAAAUUUAAUUAAAUGAUGCUGAUAGGAUUUCAUAUAAAAUACUAAUGUUCUAUAAUCUGAUAUAUUGAUGAUUAAUAAGAGAUGAUAUGUAGCUGGGACUUCAGAAGACAACGACACUAUGGAACAACGAAGAGAUGGUUGGUCUGAGCUCCACACAUUAAUAACCUAUGUUUUAAGGUUGAACAGACGUUGGUAUUCCACCCAUGUUUUAAGGUUGAACAGACGUUGGUAUUCCAUGUUUUAAGGUUGAACAGAUGGUGGUUUGACGUUGGUAUUCCACCCAUGUUUUAAG
rnacentral:lncRNA from 1 species